GCCAGACUCCUACGGGAGGCAGCAGUGGGGAAUAUUGCACAAUGGGGGGAACCCUGAUGCAGCGACGCCGCGUGAGUGAAGAAGUAUUUCGGUAUGUAAAGCUCUAUCAGCAGGGAAGAAAAACCGACCAUAGGGUCGCUAGACGGUACCUGAUUAAGAAGCCCCGGCUAACUACGUGCCAGCAGCCGCGGUAAUACGUAGGGGGCAAGCGUUAUCCGGAUUUACUGGGUGUAAAGGGGGCGCAGACGGCGCUGCAAGCCAGGGGUGAAAGGCCGGGGCCCAACCCCGGGACUGCUCUUGGAACUGCGUGGCUAGAGUGCAGGAGGGGCAGGCGGAAUUCCUGGUGUAGCGGUGAAAUGCGUAGAUAUCAGGAGGAACACCGGUGGCGAAGGCGGCCUGCUGGACUGCAACUGACGUUGAGGCCCGAAAGCGUGGGGAGCAAACAGGAUUAGAUACCCGGGUA
rnacentral:rRNA from 1 species